rfam:Dipodomys ordii contig_58431, whole genome shotgun sequence.
CUCAUUAAGGUGGGUGGAAUAGUAUAACAAUAUGCUCAGUGUUGUUAUAGUAUCCCACCUACCCUGAUGUG